ACACUGGCACUGCCGUACACUCACCAACAACUACACGCAUCGAUGCAGUCCGAGGGGCGAAACAACGCCGGUUGACUGCUCAUGGUGUUGAAAAAGUGCGGACACGCUACUUGAAGCAGUCCAAAGCACAACGGAAGCACCUUUUGCCUGCGCCAAACCUUACGCUACAARCUACUACCACAAACAUGGAGGGGAGGAGAAAGGGCUCACAAACCCCCCAUGCUACAACCUUCGGAACCAUAAAACUAGCGAAGCAACACAACGGUUAGUAAAAAUAGCAACCCGCGAGGUUAUCAAAAUGCCCACAACACGUACGAUUUCUAAGUACCCUUCGGAAGGGUAACACGAAAAUUAAGCAUCGAACCAAAAAGGUCGUGGCAGAUUUUUUCCGGACGUGCUAAGCACCGCGUAGGAUUUUUWAAAUCCUGCCAACGCUUUGCAACAACACAUCCACGG
rnacentral:misc_RNA from 1 species